GAUGAACGCUGGCGGCGUGCCUAAUACAUGCAAGUCGAGCGAACAGAUACGGAGCUUGCUCCUUUGACGUUAGCGGCGGACGGGUGAGUAACACGUGGGUAACAUACCUCUAAGACUGGGAUAAAUUAGGGAAACCGGAGCUAUUACAGGACAACAUUUGUAACCGCAUGGUUCUAAAGUGAUAGAUGGUUUUGCUAUCACUUAUAGAUGGACCGGCGCCGUAUUAGCUAGUUGGUUAGGUAACGGCUUACCAAGCCGACGAUAGGUAGCCGACCUGAGAGAGUGAUCGGCCACACGGGAACUGGGACAGGGUCCAAACUCCUACGGGAGGAGGCAGGAGGGAAUCUUCCGCAAUGAGCGAAGGCCUGACGGGGCAACGCCGCGUGAGUGAUGAGGCGUUUGGGCUCGUAAAACUCUGUUAUUAGGGAGGAACGAAUGUGUAAGUAACGGUGCACGUACUGACGGUACCUGAUCAGAAAGCCACGGCUAACUACGUG
rnacentral:rRNA from 1 species